rnacentral:rRNA from 1 species
GAAUAUUGGACAAUGGGCGCAAGCCUGAUCCAGCCAUGCCGCGUGAGUGAAGAAGGCCUUCGGGUUGUAAAGCUCUUUCAGAAGUGACGAUGAUGACGGUAACUUCAGAAGAAGCCCCGGCUAACUUCGUGCCAGCAGCCGCGGUAAUACGAAGGGGGCUAGCGUUGUUCGGAAUUACUGGGCGUAAAGCGCGCGUAGGCGGUGUGCAUAGUCAGGGGUGAAAUCCCGGGGCUCAACCUCGGAAUUGCCUUUGAUACUGGCACGCUUGAAUCCGUGAGAGGGUGGUGGAAUGACCAGUGUAGAGGUGAAAUUCGUAGAUAUUGGUCGGAACACCAGUGGCGAAGGCGGCCACCUGGCGCGGUAUUGACGCUGAGGCGCGAAAGCGUGGGGAGCAAACAGG